CUGCCUUUUGUGACCUUUGUAUGAUGCAAUUGGGCAGUGGUUUUAAGGGGAUGCUUUAGACUUGUGUGGAGUCAUGGGCUCCUAUUGCCCUGGUGUUGAAUUUCCCUGUACAGUUUUACUAGCAUUCCCAUAGGUGGCUCUGAUCUUGGCAAGAUGAGGUAGAACUGAAACCUCUAAGAUGGAACCUGGUUAGGGACUAUAAGAGGAAAAUACUAAAUCCUUCUCUGGUGUGAUUAAUGACAAGGAAGAGAGCAGGGAAGAAGUUUGGAUUUCCAUAAAAAGUUCUCUACUGAAGAUGAGAUGAUUGUAACAAUACUGGAAAAAAGGCAGAAGGCACAGAAUUUGAGAAUUGGAGGCGACUAGUGACCAUCAAGUCAAACUCCCACAGACCAGAAUUUCCACCUUCCUACAUCCAAUACAUGCUCAAAGGGACAACCAUCCAUAUUCCAUUUUUGUACAGCUCUAAUUGUUACAUCAACAUGAAGUUCUUCUCAUUUAAACCAUCUAAUUCUAGUUUCACCUCCUAGUUUUGCCUUCUGGGGUCAAGCAGGCCAAGUCUAUCCCCUCUACCACAUCAUAGCUCCUCAAAUUCUUGAAUUCAGUCAUCUUAGCCUUAUUUUGUCCUAAACACACACAAGUCCUUCAAUCUGUCUCCUCUGACAUGGACUUAAUGUUCUUCACUACCCUUCAUGUACUUCUUUGGAUAUUUAGUUUAGUCCUUCUCUAGCCAUGGUACCCAGACUUGAACAUCAUACUCUGGAUAAAGUUUGACAAGGACUCAGUGCAAUGGGACUGUCCCCUCACUGUUUGUGGAAGAGUAGUUCAUCCAAAUCAUCACCCUGACCUGAAACCACCUGAGUGGUUUUUGUGAGGGACAGCUUCAUGCUCUGCAGAGGAAGUCUGAAUCCAAUCUUGCAAAACUUGAGUGGAGAAGGACUUUCUGGAGAUGAUUGGAAGACUGCAAAUAAUCCUGAGAUGGGUGAACCUUUCAAUGCAUACCUGUAGCCCUCAAAGUCACAUUUAUAUACAGAGCUGACCCCCAAGAAGUCCUUUGAUUCCCAACACUUGCAACCCUCCAAACUGACUAUGGAAAGUUUCCUUCCAAGUGAAAUAUGAAAUCACUCUCUCCCUUUCUAAACUAGAGAGCUCUCAGUAUGAACUGUUAUCUCCCUCUAAACUAGAGACUCUCUUAGUUCUUAUGUAUUCUUUUAUCUAUGCUAAUCUGAAUAUCAAUUUACCCAAUUUCUGUUUGCUGAUUACUUUGAUAAAGAUGUUUGCUACU